rnacentral:lncRNA from 1 species
GCUGAUCCCUGGCUGUGGAGAGGAUUCUCCCGAGCCCCUGAAAAAAAAAAAAGGUGGAGAGACUUUGAAAACUUUUCUCUCGAAAAGUCUGAGGAGGCAGAGGACGGCCCGGAGUCUCGUAGCGCACCGCCCUGGUCCCACACCCCCCGCAGCCCUAGGAGGAUCGGUGUGCUGAGCUUGUGGCCAGGAGCUCCCCGAGCCACUUUCGCGCGAGCAGCAGAAAACCUGAGCCGCGGCCCGGCGAGUGUCGGCGGCGCUCUGGGGAGGAGAGGCUGGGAAGGGGCUGCGAGAGGUACGGAGGAGACAAGCAGCCCGGGAGGGAGAAUGAACCGGGAGGUUCCUGUACUCCCCCCGCCACCCCAGAUCCUCGUGCUACUCGCAACUGCGGUCUGAGGGGCAGUGGCUUUCCCAGAGUGCACAGAGAAAUGAACCAGCGCCGGUUUUGGUGUUGGGCGAGGGGUUUCCCUCAGCUGAGCACAAAGUCAGGCUGUGUGUCCCAGAUUCUGGCCAAUGGAGAGGUCGUUGAGGGGGUGGGCUGCUGCUGAGUCCUGAGAGAUUCAAAACGCCUGGGCAGCUCAGGAAUUUCCAAAGGGGGAGAUUCUCGGCCAGGAGCUGCGGAGCAACUGCAGCUGCCCAGCAGGAGCCGGCACCCUUCUCUCACAUUCUGCUUGGGAGUCGACUCAGAGGCCUCAAAUCUCAUUACUAGCACUUUGCCCACCCUUUUCUUUUGCUUAGAUGCUACUUAAGAACGUGAGGCUGAGAGGCGGACUUGGUCAGAUCUGCCUGCGUGACAAGCUCAGGACAGGACGCUUCUGCCCUUGCAUUACUGUUGUAAAAGUUUCCACCCAGUCCCUGGUCGCACUGCGUUCCCAUCCCGGCAGAUGUGAACUCAAAAACUUCCUCCGCUGUGCAGUUUCAAUUGGCAGACACACCCUGUACCUGAAUGACUCAGAAGGAGGCAGAAUGAACAAACAACAGACCCCUGACUUCUGGGAUUUUGUGAGUUUGCCAAAAAAAAAAAAAAAAGAAGUGACAGUUAAUUCACAGCUGUUUUAAAGCAUUCAUCGACAGCGACGCACCCAAUACAUACCCACAGCUUCAACAACAGUACAGUGCAUAUAAUGUGGAAACCAAGAUAACGGUCCUCUAAGACUCCAGAGUAGAUCCUAAUUGGAUUUGAAGACUUAUUUCACUUAAAGGGGAAGAGGUAUAUUGUGUCUACCCAGCACAACAAAACGGGGGACUUGGCAUUCCCCCCCUUCUCCCGCCUCCACCCACACUAAUUUAUGCAUUCUUUAAAGCCAAAGGAAUCAAAGUGAAAUUUCACACCUAGUCUGUAUCAAGCAUGUGCUAGGUUAAUUUAACCUUACUGCUCUGUGAAGUAAGUAAGCAUUGCUGGCCAUUUUAUUGUUGAGAGAAGUGUCAUUCAGACAACUAAGGUGACUUGUAGAUUUCCCAGCUAGUGAGUGGCAGAGCUGGGUUCCAAAACCUAAAUAUUGCAAAUGCCUUGCCUUGUGGCUCAAACGCUAUCAGUCAAUAAAUAGUUAAGGAAUUGAAAUAUAUGUUCCUAGAGGGAAACAGACUUCUAGAUUUAAAGUUUUACAUUUGCUGCAUUUCUGACUGUACAAGUCUACAAAAUGCAUAUAAAAGUAUGCUAAUGAAUGUCCUUUUAAAACCACUCAUUUUCUACGUAAGCAUACAAAGUGUAUACAUAUGCAUAUUAAUGAAUGUUUUCUGAAACUUCUCAUUGUCUGCCUAUGAUAUCUCAUGUAACAUUGUACUUUUAGUAUUUGCACAUAGUGUUACACAUAUUAAUCCAUUUAAUCUGACAAGUUAGGCACUAUAAUUAUUCUAAUUUUACAAACAAGGAAAUUGACUCCCAGACAUAUUAAGCAGCUUGCUUAAUGUGGGACAGGCUGCAGACUCUUAACCACUACUCCAGACCACCAUGAUAAACCUCAAACAGGUUCAAGAAUUUCCUUGGGGAUAUCAGUUGUUUUCUUGUGAAUACCACUGGUUUUUAACAUUCAAUAUUGAUAAAGUGUUUUACAGAGUCCAAAAACCUUUCAGAUUGUUAUUUAAUAAUAUUCAUCUUUAGUACACACCUAUGAGAUGUAAUUGUAGAUGAUCAACUUAGGUAAAAUUAGAUAGUAGGCAAAUGUUUCCAGCAAUGGCGUCCUGGCCAAUUCCAAGUCUCUAGUUCCCAUAUAAGUCUCUUCCCAUUGCUCUCCAAGGAGGCCCUAAAAAUUGCAUUCUCAAGCUAUCUCCUGACUGCCAGUACAACUCCCUGUCUGCUGCUGCCUAGAAGUCAAGCCCAACAUUCCUACCUUAAGUUUGCUCCAUUUCCAAUUUUUGAUUUCAAAGUGGCUUUGUUGUUCUUUACACAUGCUUUAGUGUUUCUCUUUAAAAGUUUACAGAUAAAAUACCACACAAUCUUUGGAGCAUACACUAAACAAAAAUUUGUCAUAAAUGUGCCAUUCAAAUGUAACUGUGUGAGCUAUCUUUUUUUUUUUUUUUUUUUUUUGAGACAGAAUCUCACUCUAUUGCCCAGGCUGGAGUCCAGUGGCGUGAUCUCAGCUCACCGCAACCUCCGCCUCCCAGGUUCAAGCAAUUCUCCUACCUCAGCCUCCUGAAUAGCUGGGAUUACAGGCAUGCACCACCACACCCAGCUAGUUUUGUAUUUUUAGUAGAGAUGGGGUUUCACCAUGUUGUCCAGGCUGGUCUCGAACUCCUGACUUCAGGCGAUCCACCUGCCUUGGCCUCCCAAGGUGCUGGGAUUACAAGCAUGAGCCACCGAGCCCAGCCAUGAGCUAUAUUUUUUAUCUGCUAAAUAUUGCAACUCUACUCUUUUCCCUUUCCUUUUUUUUUUUCUUUUUUUCAACUGAGACAGGGUCUGGCUCUGCUCUGUCAUCCAGGCUGGAGUGCAGUGGCGAAAUCAUAGCUCACUGCAGCCUUGAUCUCCCGCCCUCAAAGGAUCCGCCUACUUCAGCCUCCCAAGCAGCUGGGACUACAGGCACCAGUCACCAUGUCCUGAUAAUUAUUAUUUUUAUUUUUUGUAUAGACAGGAGUCUCACUUUGUUGCCCAGGGUGAUCUUGAACUCCUGCGCUCAAGCAGUCCUCCCACCUUGGACUCUCAAAGUGCUGGGAUUACAAGCCUGAGCCUUACUCUCUUUCCUAAUUGCUCCAGUCACUUUCCAACUCCCUUUUCUCCCCUCUUCCCUCCCCUGACCCAGUCACUGGUAAAAAUCCAGGCUUUCCCUUACUUGUCUAUUCACAGGAGAAUAACUAGCCUCUUAUUUCAAGGAGGAAAUAGUAUGACCAUCUCAAUUUCCCUCCUCUCCAAGCUCCAGCUUAAUAGCAACUUUACCCACCCUUACCUCCUUCCCACCUGUUUCAGAAAUAAAAGCAACUUUACUCCUUUCCAAGGCAAACUCUUGCCCAGGUCAGCAUGCUGCUUCCUCCAAACUUUCUGAGACUUGGCUCAAUUAUUCUUAUUCUCCCUUGUACUUUCAGUUCUUAGCUUCUGAGGACUCUUUACUUUCAACUUACAUAAAUGUUUAUGUGUUUUCUCUACCAAAAACUCUUUCUUCCCUUCAUCCUAGGUCCCAAUAUCUCUCUCUCCUCGUUUGCCAACAUUCAAAAUUAGUGGAACAUGACUGAGCCUUGGAACAGACACUUAGGUUCAGCCUUGAUAUUGCCAGUUCUAAGCUAUGUGACUUUAGGCAAGUUCUUUUAACUUCCUUGAACCUCAGUGUCCUCAUCUGUAAAAUGAAAUAAUGAUAUUUGCCUCUUUCAUUGUGAGGAUUAAGGAGCUACAUACCUGUGAGAAUUCCCUACACUACAGAGAAAAUGCUUCACCCAUCCACCACCUCCAUCUUUUAUUAUUAUUAUUAUUAUUAUUAUUAUUAUUUUACUUUAAGUUCUGGGGCACAUGUGCAGAAUGUGCAGGUUUGUUACAUAGGUAUACACGUGCCAUGGUGGUUUGCUGCACCCGUCAAUCCGUCACCUACAUUAGGUAUUUCUCCUAAUGCUAUCUCUCCCCUAGCCCCCCACCCCCAACAGGCUCCAGUGUGUGAUGUUCCCCUCCCUGUGUCCAUGUGUUCUCAUUGUUCAAUACCCACUUAUGAGUGAGAACAUGCAGUGUUUGGUUUUCUGUUGUUGUGUUAGUUUGCUGAGAAUGAUGAUUUCCAGCUUCAUCCAUGUCCCUGCAAAGGACAUGAACUCAUCCUUUAUUAUGCCUGCAUAGUAUUCCAUGGUGUAUAUGUGCCACAGUUUCCUUUUCCAGUCCAUCAUUGGUGGACAUUUGGGUUGGUUCCAAGUCUUUGCUAUUGUGAAUAGUGCCACAAUAAACAUAUGUGUGCAUGUGUCUUUAUAGUAGAAUGAUUUAUAAUCCUUUGGGUAUAUACCCAGUAAGGGAAUUGCUGGGUCAAAUGGUAUUUCUAGUUCUAGAUCCUUGAGGAAUCGCCACACUGUCUUCCACAAUGUUGAACUAAUUUAUACUCCCACCAACAGUGUAAAAGCGUUCCUAUUUCUCCACAUCCUCUUCAGCAUCUGUUGUUUCCUGACUUUUUAAUGAUCACCAUUCUAACUGGCAUGAGAUGGUAUCUCAUUGCGGUUUUGAUUUGCAUUUCUCUAAUGACCAGUGAUUAUGAGGUUUUUUCAUAUGUUUGUUGGCUGCAUGAAUGUUGUCUUUUGAGAAGUGUCUGUUCAUAUCCUUUGCCCACUUUUUGAUAGGGUUGUUUGGUUUUUUCUUGUAAAUUUGUUUAAGUUCUUUAUAGAUUCUGGAUAUUAACCCUUUGUCAGAUGCAUAGAUUGCAAAAUUUUUCUCCCCUUAUAUAGGUUGCCUGUUCACUCUGAUGAUAGUUUCUUUUGCUAUGCAGAAGCUCUUUAGUUUAAUUAGAUCCCAUUUGUCAAUUUUGGCUUUUGUUGCCAUUGCUUUUGGUGUUUUAGACAUGAAGCAUUUGCCCAUGACUAUGUCCUGAAUGGUAUUGCCUAGGUUUUCUUCUAGGAUUUUUCUUGUUUUAGGUCUUACGUUUAGGUCUUUAAUCCAUCUUGAGUUAAUUUUUGUAUAAGGUGUAAGGAAGGGGUCCAGUUUCAGUGUUCUGCAUAUGGCUAGCCAGUUUUCCCAGCACCAUUUAUUAAAUAGGGAAUCCUUUCUCCCUUUCUUGUUUUUAUCAGGUUUGUCAAAGAUCAGAUGGCUGUAGAUGUGUGGUGUUAUUUCUGAGGCCUCUGUUCUGUUGCGUUGGUCUAUAUAUCUGUUUUGGUACCAGUACUAUACUGUUUUGGUUACUGUAGCCUUGUAGUAUAGUUUGAAGUCAGGUAGCAUGAUGCCUCCAGCUUUGUUCUUUUUGCUUAGGAUUGUCUUGGCUAUGUGGGCUCUUUUUUGAUUCCAUA